GAACUGCGAUAAGUAAUGUGAAUUGCAGAAUUCAGUGAAUCAUCGAGUCUUUGAACGCACAUUGCGCCCCCUGGCAUUCCGGGGGGGCAUGCCUGUCCGAGCGUCAUUGCUGCCCUCAAGCCCGGCUUGUGUGUUGGGUCGUCGUCCCCCCCGGGGGACGGGCCCGAAAGGCAGCGGCGGCACCGUGUCCGGUCCUCGAGCGUAUGGGGCUUUGUCACCCGCUCGAUUAGGGCCGGCCGGGCGCCAGCCGGCGUCUCCAACCUUAUUUUUCUCAGGUUGACCUCGGAUCAGGUAGGGAUACCCGCUGAACUUAAGC
rnacentral:misc_RNA from 1 species